GUAAAAGUCGUAACAAGGUUUCCGUAGGUGAACCUGCGGAAGGAUCAUUACUGAGCGUUUAGGGUCCCCCACGGGGCCCGACCUCCAACCCUGUGUGUACCUAUCCACGUUGCUUCGGUGGCUCUGGCCUGCCCGUUCCGGGGGGUCAUCCGCCGAGGAAUCACAUCAAACCCUUGCGUGUACGGUGUCGUCUGAGUCUUUUAGCGAAUUAAAAUAAAACUUUCAACAACGGAUCUCUUGGUUCUGGCAUCGAUGAAGAACGCAGCGAAAUGCGAUAAGUAAUGUGAAUUGCAGAAUUCAGUGAAUCAUCGAAUCUUUGAACGCACAUUGCGCCCUCUGGUACUCCGGGGGGCAUGCCUGUUCGAGCGUCAUUAUCACCAAUCAAGCCCGGCUUGUAAUUGGGCGUCGUCCCCUACAUCUCAAGGGGGACGUGCCUGGAAAUCGGUGACGGCCGCGUCCGAUCCUCAGCGUAGUAAGAUUUCACAUCAUCGCUUCCGAGUCGGGCGUCGUGCCGGUCAGCAAGCUCGUCCUCCGGGACGUUUUUAUCAAGGUUGACCUCGGAUCAGGUAGGGAUACCCGCUGAACUUAAGCAU
rnacentral:rRNA from 1 species